AGAGUUUGAUCCUGGCUCAGGAUGAACGCUAGCGGCAGGCUUAACACAUGCAAGUCGAGGGGCAGCAUGAAAGUAGCAAUACUUUUGAUGGCGACCGGCGGACGGGUGCGUAACGCGUAUGCAACCUACCCUUUACAGGGGGAUAACACUGAGAAAUCGGUACUAAUACCCCAUAAUAUUCUGGGAGGCAUCUUUCGGAGUUGAAAGCUUUGGUGGUAAAGGAUGGGCAUGCGUUGUAUUAGCUAGUUGGUAAGGUAACGGCUUACCAAGGCGACGAUACAUAGGGGGACUGAGAGGUUAACCCCCCACAUUGGUACUGAGACACGGACCAAACUCCUACGGGAGGCAGCAGUGAGGAAUAUUGGUCAAUGGACGGAAGUCUGAACCAGCCAUGCCGCGUGCAGGAAGACGGCUCUAUGAGUUGUAAACUGCUUUUGUACGAGGGUAAACGCAGAUACGUGUAUCUGCCUGAAAGUAUCGUACGAAUAAGGAUCGGCUAACUCCGUGCCAGCAGCCGCGGUAAUACGGAGGAUCCAAGCGUUAUCCGGAUUUAUUGGGUUUAAAGGGUGCGUAGGCGGUUUAGUAAGUCAGCGGUGAAAUUUUGGUGCUUAACACCAAACGUGCCGUUGAUACUGCUGGGCUAGAGAGUAGUUGCGGUAGGCGGAAUGUAUGGUGUAGCGGUGGAAUGCUUAGAGAUCAUACAGAACACCGAUUGCGAAGGCAGCUUACCAAACUAUAUCUGACGUUGAGGCACGAAAGCGUGGGGAGCAAACAGGAUUAGAUACCCUGGUAGUCCACGCAGUAAACGAUGAUAGCUCGUUGUCGGCGAUACACAGUCGGUGACUAAGAGAAAUCGAUAAGCUAUCCACCUGGGGAGUACGUUCGCAAGAAUGAAACUCAAAGGAAUUGACGGGGGCCCGCACAAGCGGAGGAACAUGUGGUUUAAUUCGAUGAUACGCGAGGAACCUUACCCGGGCUUGAAAGUUACUGACGAUUCUGGAAACAGGAUUUCCCUUCGGGGCAGGAAACUAGGUGUUGCAUGGUUGUCGUCAGCUCGUGCCGUGAGGUGUCGGGUUAAGUCCCAUAACGAGCGCAACCCCUACUGAUAGUUGCCAUCAG
rnacentral:rRNA from 1 species